GACAGAGGGGGCAAGCGUUGCUCGGAAUUACUGGGCGUAAAGGGCGCGUAGGCGGGAUGGCAAGUCGGUCGUGAAAUCCUUCGGCUCAACCGAAGAACGUCGAUCGAUACUGGCGUGCUUGAGGACUGGAGAGGAGACUGGAAUUCAUGGUGUAGCAGUGAAAUGCGUAGAGAUCAUGAGGAAGACCAGUGGCGAAGGCGGGUCUCUGGACAGUUCCUGACACUGAGACACGAAGGCCAGGGGAGCAAACGGG
rnacentral:rRNA from 1 species